rnacentral:tRNA from 1 species
GCACCUAUAGUUCAACGGAUAGAAUAGGGCUUUGCGGAAGCUCUGAUACAGGUCCGAUUCCUGUUAGGUGCA